rnacentral:rRNA from 1 species
UACAGAGGUCCCAAGCGUUGUUCGGAUUCAUUGGGCGUAAAGGGUGCGUAGGCGGCGCGGUAAGUCGGGUGUGAAAUCUUGGAGCUUAACUCCGAAACUGCAUUCGAUACUGCCGUGCUUGAGGACUGGAGAGGAGACUGGAAUUUACGGUGUAGCGGUGAAAUGCGUAGAUAAUCGUAAGGAAGACCAGUGGCGAAGGCGGGUCUCUGGACAGUUCC